ACACGACACGUGUCUGGCAGGGCCCACUAUGCGUGCGGAAAAGGCUUCAUUCUUCUCUCCCUCGCUACUUGCUGGAGAAGGGCCACGAUAGAGCUUCGUGGCGGCGGCGUAGCUGGACAAUACUGCUAUUUCGCAAGGUCAGCUUGCACAUCGGCGCCGUGGCCUGUGGGUGUGGAAUGCUUCUUUUUACAUCUAUUUCACUGUUUUUUGUGUGUUCUUUCUCCCGAUCUAGAUGCUACCCCGUAUUUGUUUUAUGCUGUGACUACGCGCGGUGUUUCCGGCCGAGCGAGGAGGUCCUCCUUCUGCGAUUUCUUCACCGGCUCCACCUCGAAGUCGUGGCCUGCAGGAUAUCGCCGCGGGAUUGCAGGGCAGGUCGCCGUGCCAGGGCGGCCGUGUCUAGGAAGCAGAGACCUCGAUCGACCUCGCCGGAGCUGUGCCAUCCGCUACCCGCCCGCCCCGGCCUUCACACCAUCCGGCGUUGGUCUGCCGCGCCAAGGCGCAUCUCCGGCACCAACCGCCUCGACCCGAUUCGCCCCCUGUCGUUGUGCCCGUCUCCGACCUGAGCCGAACUGAGCCCCACCCGCUCACGAGGCCGUGCGCAGGUAAGAUCGCAACCUGCCCUGUCCUGCGUCAGCUCAAUUUUUUGAUUCCCCUCUCUCGGAUCUCUCUCUCUCUCUCUAUCCACAGGUGCUGGGAUUACUCGUGGAGUACGACGGCAAGCUCGACAUGAAGCUCUUCAUCCCCUGCGGGAAUAAGGAUGAGCUGCACUCUUGAGCGACAGCAGACAACCGAUGCCUCGCCCUUGCGCGUCGCCAAGCUCGGAUAGUCACGCCAAGCAGCAGUACGCAGCUGCGACGAGGACGGAGAGCAGGUCUUCGAUGAGCAGCGCCAGUCAUCCACUCCUACAUCAACAUGUGUGAUGGUUCUAUCUGACUUUUUGUCUAAUUUUGAUGUUCCCUCAAUGCCACCUGUUUCUCAGGUCUCAGCAUUUCUGUUGCUCCCUUUCUCUGAGAUUGCCGAUUACAGCUUUACCGUUAGCACGGAGACUGAGAGUGCGUACAUAAGGCCCAGCGUUCUCUACUGGGGAGGAAAGUCUAGCAGCCUGGCAGCUCAGCUAACCACCAUGUGAUCGUGUCUUAGCCUGAUGGAGGUGACGGUGCUAUGAGCGUUUUUCUUCAGCAGAACAUCCACACCACGCCGGGCGAUGUUUAAGAACGCUCUGUCUAAUAUCAUAUCUGAGAAUUCAAAGUAGGUAGUAUAUAUGCUACCAAUCUUAGGAGCACGGCAUGGUGGGUAUGACAAGACUGUUGGUGAUGUUCCCCCUUGGUUAUUUGCUGAGCAGGCUGGUCAUUGUGCACCUCGAUUUGUUUGGUGAAGUUUGCGUUGGGGUCCCGAGUGUCCUUUGGAUCUUUGUCUUUGGCUGACCAGUAUGGUUCAUCUAAUGGUUGGCGUUUACGGGUGAUGAUUCCGUAGGCAGAGACGGAGUUCUUGGGCUAUUUUGCCUUUGGUAUAUUCGUCAAGCCCUGAUUGGGCUGUUGUUCGUGUUGCUCAGUAUCACUCUGAUGGGUAUGAUGUGUUGGCUCCUUUGGUUUUGACCGGCUCUUCAGCGUAAUAUUUGGCUGGCUCUGGUGCACUUUUGCCUUCCAACGUGCCAGCUAAUCAGGAUAUGCCACUUAAUCUACUGCCUAAUCAUUUGUACAUUUUGUGCUUUUGUCCUUGCCCUUCCAGCACUGAAGGAGAUCAUCAUCAUCAUAUCCUCAAACGAAGAGGGCAACGGUGGAGGCACCUGACAAGUCAAGAGCAAACAGAAAAGCUACCUUACUCAACCAUGUAUACCAGCAUUAGUGUGGAUUAAAUCUGCUAGCAAUACAUCUCCUCUAUCCUGCGUCAUGCAGUCCUAUCUUCUAUGCAAUCAAGCAGGGAUAUGUACCGGCAUCGCCGGCAAAUGUGCAAGCUCGAUGCCAACUAAGUGCAUAUGUAUCGUUGCAAAAUAGAGCAGCUAGAUCAAUCUAAUGCACUAUGUAAUCCAAGUAUAAAGAUCUACUACCGAUUAAUGUAUGGAGAAACUUUUAUUA